rnacentral:rRNA from 1 species
UGGGGAAUAUUGCACAAUGGGGGAAACCCUGAUGCAGCGACGCCGCGUGAGUGAAGAAGUAUUUCGGUAUGUAAAGCUCUAUCAGCAGGGAAGAGAAUGACGGUACCUGACUAAGAAGCCCCGGCUAACUACGUGCCAGCAGCCGCGGUAAUACGUAGGGGGCAAGCGUUAUCCGGAUUUACUGGGUGUAAAGGGAGCGUAGACGGCUUAGCAAGUCUGAAGUGAAAGCCCGGGGCUCAACCCCGGGACUGCUUUGGAAACUGUUAAGCUGGAGUGCUGGAGAGGUAAGCGGAAUUCCUAGUGUAGCGGUGAAAUGCGUAGAUAUUAGGAGGAACACCAGUGGCGAAGGCGGCUUACUGGACAGUAACUGACGUUGAGGCUCGAAAGCGUGGGGAGCAAACAG